CGGUGACGGAGGUAGCUUGCUUCUCCUGAUCAGUGGCGAACGGGUGAGUAACACGUGAGUAACCUGCCCUUGACUCUGGGAUAACUCCGGGAAACCGGGGCUAAUACUGGAUACGAAGCGCCUCGGCAUCGGGUGCGCUUGGAAAGUUUUUCGGUCAAGGAUGGACUCGCGGCCUAUCAGCUUGUUGGCGGGGUAACGGCCCACCAAGGCGUCGACGGGUAGCCGGCCUGAGAGGGCGACCGGCCACACUGGGACUGAGACACGGCCCAGACUCCUACGGGAGGCAGCAGUGGGGAAUAUUGCACAAUGGGCGAAAGCCUGAUGCAGCGACGCCGCGUGAGGGAUGAAGGCCUUCGGGUUGUAAACCUCUUUCAGUAGGGAAGAAGCGAAAGUGACGGUACCUGCAGAAGAAGCGCCGGCUAACUACGUGCCAGCAGCCGCGGUAAUACGUAGGGCGCAAGGCGUUGUCCCGGAAUUAUUGGGCGUAAAGAGCUCGUAGGCGGUUUGUCGCGUCUGGUGUGAAAACUCAAGGCUCAACCUUGAGCUUGCAUCGGGUACGGGCAGACUAGAGUGCGGUAGGGGUGACUGGAAUUCCUGGUGUAGCGGUGGAAUGCGCAGAUAUCAGGAGGAACACCGAUGGCGAAGGCAGGUCACUGGGCCGCAACUGACGCUGAGGAGCGAAAGCAUGGGGAGCGAACAGGAUUAGAUACCCUGGUAGUCCAUGCCGUAAACGUUGGGCACUAGGUGUGGGGCUCAUUCCACGAGUUCCGUGCCGCAGCAAACGCAUUAAGUGCCCCGCCUGGGGAGUACGGCCGCAAGGCUAAAACUCAAAGGAAUUGACGGGGGCCCGCACAAGCGGCGGAGCAUGCGGAUUAAUUCGAUGCAACGCGAAGAACCUUACCAAGGCUUGACAUACACCGGGAAUCGGCCAGAGAUGGUCGCGUCUUCGGACUGGUGUACAGGUGGUGCAUGGUUGUCGUCAGCUCGUGUCGUGAGAUGUUGGGUUAAGUCCCGCAACGAGCGCAACCCUCGUCCUAUGUUGCCAGCACGUUAUGGUGGGGACUCAUAGGAGACUGCCGGGGUCAACUCGGAGGAAGGUGGGGAUGACGUCAAAUCAUCAUGCCCCUUAUGUCUUGGGCUUCACGCAUGCUACAAUGGCCGGUACAAAGGGCUGCGAUACCGCGAGGUGGAGCGAAUCCCAAAAAGCCGGUCUCAGUUCGGAUUGGGGUCUGCAACUCGACCCCAUGAAGUCGGAGUCGCUAGUAAUCGCAGAUCAGCAACGCUGCGGUGAAUACGUUCCCGGGCCUUGUACACACCGCCCGUCAAGUCACGAAAGUCGGUAACACCCGAAGCCGGUGGC
rnacentral:rRNA from 1 species